rnacentral:rRNA from 1 species
UACGUAGGAGGCAAGCGUUGUCCGGAGUUACUGGGCGUAAAGCGCACGCAGGCGGUCUUGUCAGUCUGUAGGGACAGGGCACGGCUCAACCGUGUCAGGCUUAUGGAAACUGCAAGACUUGAGGGCUUCAGAGGGAUGGGGAAUUCCCGGUGGAGCGGUGAAAUGCGUAGAGAUCGGGAAGAACGCCAAGGGCGAAGGCAC